rnacentral:rRNA from 1 species
GUUGUAAGGUUAAGAAAUUAAGCGUACACGGUGGAUGCCUAGGCAAUCAGAGGCGAUGAAGGACGUGUUAAUCUGCGAAAAGCGACGGUGAGCCGAUAAAAGGCGCUAUAGCCGUUGAUGUCCGAAUGGGGAAACCCAGUGCAGGCGACUGCACUAUCAUCUGAUGAAUACAUAGUCAGAUGAGGCGAACCGGGAGAACUGAAACAUCUAAGUACCCCGAGGAAAAGAAAUCAACCGAGAUUCCCAAAGUAGCGGCGAGCGAAAUGGGAGUAGCCCAAGCGGGUAGCAUAAUGUAUUAGUGGAAGCGUCUGGAAAGUCGCACGAUAGAGGGUGAAAGUCCCGUACAUGAAAAUGCAUUAUGUGGAAGCUUAUAGAGUAGGGCGGGACACGUGAUAUCCUGUCUGAAGAUGGGGGGACCAUCCUCCAAGGCUAAAUACUCCUGAUUGACCGAUAGUGAACCAGUACCGUGAGGGAAAGGCGAAAAGAACCCCGGGAGGGGAGUGAAAUAGACCCUGAAACCGUGUACGUACAAUCAGUGGGAGCAUGUACCGUUGGGUAUGUGUGACUGCGUACCUUUUGUAUAAUGGGUCAGCGACUUAUAUUCUGUAGCAAGGUUAACCGAAUAGGGGAGCCGAAGGGAAACCGAGUAUUAACUGUGCGUUAAGUUGCAGGGUAUAGACCCGAAACCCGGUGAUCUAGCCAUGGGCAGGUUGAAGGUUGGUUAACACUAACUGGAGGACCGAACCGACUAAUGUUGAAAAAUUAGCGGAUGACCUGUGGCUGGGGGUGAAAGGCCAAUCAAACCGGGAGAUAGCUGGUUCUCCCCGAAAGCUAUUUAGGUAGCGCCUCAUGUAUAACUGUUGGGGGUAGAGCACUGUUUCGGCUAGGGGGCCAUCCCGGCUUACCAACCCGAUGCAAACUCCGAAUACUGACAAGUUUAAUCAUGGGAGACACACGGCGGGUGCUAACGUUCGUCGUGAAGAGGGAA